rnacentral:lncRNA from 14 species
GGGUCCCCGAUUGAGUUUGGGGCGGAUUUUGGGGGAAAUUUUGGGGAAUUUUGGGGUUUUUGGGUCCCUAAUUGAGGCUGGGGGCCGCGGGGGGCGUGGCCUGCCCAUAUAUGGCAUGCCCAGGCACGCCUAACCACGCCCCCUCAAAGCCCCUCAUUAGCAUAAACCCCGCCCUACCGCUCUAUCUAAGGGAAUAGCCCCGCCCCUUUUUAACUCCUUAUACAGCGCUCUGCUGUUGCCUGGCCACGCCCUUCCCGCGCGCUGAUUGGCGGGUUUUUCACCGCCACGCCCCCCGCGGCGUCGCUUAUUGGCCACGCCUGGCGGCCCCGCCUGCUUGCGACGCGGGGCAUGUUGGGAUCGCGGCAAGAUGGCGGCCCCGCCCGGCUGCGGCCGCCCCGCACAAUAGCGGCGGGGGGAGGGGGCGCGGGCUCGGAGCCGGCGCCGCCCAUGGAGCCGGGAGCCGGCCCCAGCCCCGCCCCCCCCGAGGUAACCACGGCAACCAUGGGAGGGGGCGGGGCCAAAGGGGGGGCGGGGCUACAGGGGAACCCCGGCACUGGGGGAAGGGGAGGGGCAAAGGGAGGGGGAGGGGCGGCCCCAAUUGGGGGGGGGGGGGAACCCAAAAUCCCCAGGUUUGGCCCCAAAUUGGGGGGGUGGGGCAAGAAAUGGGGGGGUUACCCAAAAUUGGGGUUUUUUUACCCAAAAUUGGGGUUUUUUACCCAAAAUUGGGGUUUUUUUACCCAAAAUUGGGAUGUUUUUAACGCAAAAAAUUCAGAUUUUUAACCCAAAAUUGGGAUUUUUUUCUACCCAAAAUUGGGAUUUUUUAAAUUGCAAAAUUGGGGGGUUUUUUAACCCAAAAUUGGGAUUUUUUUACCCAAAAUUGGGAUUUUUUUUUUACCCAGAAUUGGGGGUUUUACACCCGAAAUUGGGAUUUUUUUACCCAAAAUUGGGAUUUUUUUUUUACCCAGAAUUGGGGGUUUCUUUUACACCCGAAAUUGGGAUUUUUUUACCCAAAAUUGGGAUAUUUUUUUUACCUAAAAAUUCCGAUUUUUAACCCAAAAUUGGGAUUUUUUUUUAGCCCAGAAUUGGGGGUUUUACACCCAAAAUUGGGAUUUUUUUAACCCAAAUUCGGGGUAUUUUACCCAAAAUUGGGGAUUUUUUUAAAUGCAAAAUUGGGGGUUUUUUUACCUAAAAAUUCCGAUUUUUAACCCAAAAUUGGGAUUUUUUUUAGCCCAAAAUUGGGAUUUUUUUCACCCACAAUUGGGGGGUUUUUUUACCCAAAAUUGGGGAUUUUUUUACUUAAAAAUUCAGAUUUCUAACCCAGAAUUGGGGACUUUUUUUAACCCAAAAUUGGGAUUUUUUUUACCCAAAAUUGGGGGUUUUUUACCCAGAAUUGGGGGGUUUUUCAAAAUCUAAAAUGGGGAUUUUUUUAAUCUAAAAAUUCCGAUUUUUAACCCAAAACUGGGGGUUUUUCACCCGAAAUUGAGGGUUUUUUUACCCAAAACUCCAGUUUUUUAACCCAAAAUUGGGAUUUUUUAUUACCCAAAAUUGGGGGGUUUCUCACCCGAAAUUGGGAUUUUUUUUUAACCUAAAAUUCCGAUUUUUAACCCCAAAUUGGAUUUUUUUAACUAAUAUUGGCGGUUUUAACCCAAAACUGAAAGUUUGACCCAAAAAUUGGGAUUUUUAACCCAAAUUUGGAAGUUUUAACCCAGAAAUUGGGGGGUUUAACCCCAAACUUGGGGGUUUAUCAGUCAAAAUUGUGAUUUUUAACAAAAAUUCAAGAAAACAGCCCAAAAUUGGGAUUUUUAGCCCAAAAUUGGGAUUUUUUUUCCCCUAAAAUUGGGAUUUUCUUCCCCAAAUUUGCAUUCCCAGGCCCCCUCAAAAUUUUUUUUUCCCCCAAAAUUGGGAUUUCCCUGCAAAAAAUGAAAUUUUUCUCCCCCCAAAAUUUGAAUUUUCCCACCUGAAAUUAAUUUAUUCCCCCCAAAAAUUAAAUUUUUUCCCGCAAAAUUUGAAUUUUCUCUCUCAAAAUGAAUUCUUCCCCCAAAUUUGGCAUUUUCCCCCAAAAUUAAAAUAUUUUCCCCCAAAAUUUUGAUUUUUUCCCCCCCCAAAAAAUCAUUUUUUUCCCCCAAAAAACCAGAAUUUUCCCCCAAAAUUUGGGAUUUUUUCCCCCCAAAAUUUGUUUUUUUUCCCCAAAAUUGGGGUUUUUUUCCCAAAAAAAAUUAAUUUUUUUCUCUCAAAAUUGAGAUUUUCCCCCUUAAAAAAUUUCAUUUUUUUCCCCAAAAAAAUUUUUAUUUUACCACCCCAUUUUUUUUUUAUUUCCCCCCCAAAAUUUUUCUAUUUUUCGUUUUUUCUCCAAUUCUGGGAUUUUCCCCCCAAAACGGGGCCCCUCCCCCUUCCCUCCCCCACCCCCCGGACCCCCCACACGUCUCCUUUUUUUGGGCACCCAGCGGAACCUUCCGGAACCCCCCCAAAAAGGAACUCGGAACCUUCCGGAAAAAAAAAUAAAAAAAAAACAAAACCAAAAAAGGCCCCAAAAUGGAACUCGGGGACCUUUCCCCCCCCAAGGAGGCGGAAAUUCCCCAAAAAGGCAAAAAAAUUGGGGCAAAAAACGGAAAAAAAAACCAAACCCCAAAAUCGGCAAAAAUUGG